rnacentral:rRNA from 1 species
GACGAACCGUGCGAACGUUAUUCGGAAUCACUGGGCUUAAAGGGCGCGUAGGCGGUCCGGCGCGUCCGGGGUGAAAGCCUCCAGCUCAACUGGAGAAGUGCCCCGGAUACGGCCGGACUCGAGUGGGGUAGGGGCGUGUGGAACUUCCGGUGGAGCGGUGAAAUGCGCAGAUAUCAGGAGGAACACCAAUGGCGAAGGCAGCUCGCUGGAACGGUACUGACGCUGUGGCGCGAAAGCGUGGGGAGCGAACAGG